rnacentral:rRNA from 1 species
AUGAACGCUGGCGGCGUGCUUAACACAUGCAAGUCGUACGAGAACUCUUUAGCUUGCUAAAGAUAGUAAAGUGGCGCACGGGUGAGUAACGCGUGGGUCAUCUUCUUUCACAUUUGGGAUAACUCGCCGAAAGGCGGGCUACUACCUGAUCAUAUCUAUUUAAUCUUGGUUUGAUAGAUUAAAGGUGGCCUCUAUGUAUAAGCUACUGUUUGAAAAUGAGCCCGCGUACCAUUAGCUUGUUGGUAGGGUAAUGGCCUACCAAGGCGACGAUGGUUAGCUGGUCUGAGAGGAUGAUCAGACACACUGGAACUGACACACGGUCCAGACUCCUACGGGAGGCAGCAGUGAGGAA